rnacentral:sRNA from 1 species
AUGUACCACUCGUACACUCCGGUUCUGAGGGCGCCGUCCGCACCCACCUGACGACUGCUCGCUACGUUUUGUUAGCC